rnacentral:rRNA from 1 species
AGAGUUUGAUCCUGGCUCAGGAUGAACGCUGGCGGCGUGCCUAACACAUGCAAGUCGAGCGAAGCACUUUGCUUAGAUUCUUCGGAUGAAGAGGAUUGUGACUGAGCGGCGGACGGGUGAGUAACGCGUGGGUAACCUGCCUCAUACAGGGGGAUAACAGUUAGAAAUGACUGCUAAUACCGCAUAAGACCACAGCACCGCAUGGUGCGGGGGUAAAAACUCCGGUGGUAUGAGAUGGACCCGCGUCUGAUUAGCUGGUUGGUAAGGUAACGGCUUACCAAGGCGACGAUCAGUAGCCGACCUGAGAGGGUGACCGGCCACAUUGGGACUGAGACACGGCCCAAACUCCUACGGGAGGCAGCAGUGGGGAAUAUUGCACAAUGGGGGAAACCCUGAUGCAGCGACGCCGCGUGAGCGAAGAAGUAUUUCGGUAUGUAAAGCUCUAUCAGCAGGGAAGAAAAUGACGGUACCUGACUAAGAAGCACCGGCUAAAUACGUGCCAGCAGCCGCGGUAAUACGUAUGGUGCAAGCGUUAUCCGGAUUUACUGGGUGUAAAGGGAGCGUAGACGGAUGGGCAAGUCUGAUGUGAAAACCCGGGGCUCAACCCCGGGACUGCAUUGGAAACUGUUCAUCUAGAGUGCUGGAGAGGUAAGUGGAAUUCCUAGUGUAGCGGUGAAAUGCGUAGAUAUUAGGAGGAACACCAGUGGCGAAGGCGGCUUACUGGACAGUAACUGACGUUGAGGCUCGAAAGCGUGGGGAGCAAACAGGAUUAGAUACCCUGGUAGUCCACGCCGUAAACGAUGACUACUAGGUGUCGGGUGGCAAAGCCAUUCGGUGCCGCAGCAAACGCAAUAAGUAGUCCACCUGGGGGAGUACGUUCGCAAGAAUGAAACUCAAAGGAAUUGACGGGGGACCCGCACAAGCGGUGGAGCAUGUGGUUUAAUUCGAAGCAACGCGAAGAACCUUACCUGCUCUUGACAUCCCGCUGACCGGACGGUAAUGCGUCCUUCCCUUCGGGGCAGCGGAGACAGGUGGUGCAUGGUUGUCGUCAGCUCGUGUCGUGAGAUGUUGGGUUAAGUCCCGCACGAGCGCAACCCUAUCUUUAGUAGCAGCGGCCAGGCCGGGCACUCUAAAAGAGACUGCCGGGGAUAAUCCCGGGAGGAAGGUGGGGAUAGAACUCA